GCCUUUAGAACCAACAGAGUUGCACUGGUCGUUCGAAGGCCCAAAACAAUUGGAAACAAAUUACAUUAUAACAUCAUCACAAGCCCAAAAAUAAAAAAAUAGAAAAUGAAAAGAAACCAACCCACCCAACAAUAGGCAAACGGAUUUUUCAUAAAGAACAAGAUCCACCUUCGAGUAAUAACUGCAUUACUAUGAAUUUGAUACAGAGUUUCCUUGAAUAUGAUGGCAUCUCAACCAUUGGCAAGCUAAAAUAAAUUACCCACCAUCAAAAUUAGGCGCUAACUGAAAGAAAAUAAUUAAAUAUGACCUUAAUAUAAUAAACAAAUUGAUUUUAACUCUACUUCAUUGUUUCUCAGUUCCUGCUCGCAUGCGAGACCAUCUCAUAUGCACUAGACAUUCCUCUCAAUUGAAAACAGAUAAAUAACUUUUCGUCAUAUAGAGUAUAAUGUUUUUGAACGUGGAGGAAUUUAUUGAAGAAUAACGCAAAUGGAGGAAAAGAGAUCAAUCUUCCAAAGGAAACAAAAAUCAAAGGCAAAAAAAAAUGGAGCACUAGGGAGAAACAACUAAUCCUCAAAUGAUGCACAAAAUCUAUUGAGUGGCAUAGGACAUAUAUGAAUAAUCUAAAUGUCCUUGAAGGGCUAAAGUUACUGCUAAUACAGCCAUCUCGGAAAGCAGAAUACUAGAAGAAUUCUAAGGUACUAAUGGAUUUUAUGUGACUGAAAAUUAGAGAAGUUUGAGGGCAAGGAUGGACAUUUAAUUGAAAAUAAACUUGAUGUGAAAGAGGAAUGGAACACAAACUAAGAUGAAGGGAAGAAAUGAAAAAAAUAGUGGCCCCAAAUCUUUCUAAAGAUGUAGCCGAAGCCAAGUGGGAUAGAGGAAACAAACCCAUACAACCGAUCCCAACUAGUUUUGUAUUAAGGCAUAGUUGAGUUAUGUUUAUUGAAAAUGAAUUUCUGGAAUUUGUUGGCAGUAAUGUAAGAAAAAAAAAUCAGACUAGCAUUUUUUAAGUUAUCAUAGAACUCUUUCUAUGACCUUUUUCUCUGUUUGAUUUGACAAGUACAACUUCAAAUGAAAAAAUUUCUUCACAUAACCAAAAAAUUAACUCGCACUCACAAAAAAAUAAACCAAAGUCUUAAAUUCUAGACUCAAUUUACAAAAUUACCAUAAAUAAGCCAAAAUUACAGAAAUUGAGUUCGGUCACUGUUCUUUAUAAAAAUUGCCAAAUUAGAAGUAAAAUUUAAUUCUAGACUAUUAAGGGCUCAAUCUGCAGAACCAUAUAUUGGCUACAGAUCCCAAAGAGGGGAUUAAGCCAAAAUUUAAACAUCAAAAUUAGGCAUUAGUAGCAAAAAGCUUCUGAGCUUCACUUUUGCAGGCUACAUUAGAAGGUGACAUGGGAAUCUUGGCAUCUUGCUAUCCCAGCAAAAUCCACCUCUAAGUCAUCUCAUUUAUGACAUCAUCCAAGGUGACAUUUUAGGGCAAUGACAAAACUGCUAAGUGCUAAUACAAUCAUAAAUGCAUUUACUAAUUCAAUUGCACCAAAUUUAACUUAUGUUUUUAAUAAUUUGAUUUAGUUCAGUUUUGAUACAAAAAUUUAUUUUGGUUUUCAAUUUUGAAUUUUAAGAAACAAGAAAAUCAAAACUGAAUCACAUUUAUUAAUAUUUUAUAUAUUAUUUUAGGUGCACCUUUUAUGCGAAUGCAUUUUAAGAGAAAGACGAAAACACAAAUGUACAGAGCAAAAAUGCCAUCAAUGAUCACAGAAAAGUAAUAAUAGAAGAAUAUCCUUCAGCUCAUUGGACAGGGCACAUUGCAAAGGGAAACUUACUGUAAAGUUGCCACCCAUGCUGCU
rnacentral:misc_RNA from 1 species